rnacentral:lncRNA from 1 species
AGGCUCUGAGAUGGAGAACACCAACACAGCAGUGUGCAGGGUUUUGUUGGAUUUUUAAUUGUGCAGGUUUUUGCCUAGUGAAGUUGUGGAUGCUCCAUCCUGGAGAUGACCAGAGCCAGGCUGGAUGGGUCCAUGGGCAGCCUGAUCUGGUGCCUGUGUAGUGGUUGGAAACCCUGCUCAUGGCAGGGGGGUUGGAACUGGGGGCUCUUUGAGGUCCUUUCCAACCCAAUGGGUUGUGUUGGAUUCUGUGAUUCUGUGAAGGCUCUUCCUGCAACACAGGCAGCGCUCAGUUGCUCACCCAGGUUCCUCUUGCUCAAGGGGCAAAGGGCUGCUUUCACAUGAGCACAAGGGCUGCUGUUCCUGAGUUCUGUGUAGCCAUGGUGAGCUCUGUGGUCAUGUAAACAUUACACAAUGGAGAGCCCCUGCUGUCUGAGGGCAGCGGAGGCACUACUGGGCUCCUCCUCUUUGGAUUGCUCUUCCUGGGGGAGUACAGCACUUUAUGAAGUUGUGACAGCAAGCUCUGGAGGUGCCAGCAAGCUUGCAGCCCUCUCAGAAUUACGCUUGCAUUGCUGAGAAGAUGGGUCACAUUUCUGGGAAUCCACCCUGACUUCGUCUGGUGACGCUCUGGCUCUCUGAGGAUAGAGACAAGGAGCAGAUAGAUGAUUCUUACCCAGCUGCUGGUUCCACUUGAGGAACUUCACAACUCUGGGUGAUUAACAAGCUCCUGGAUGCUUGCAUGUGGGGCCUUCCCUUCUGGACAGACCUCCAGGAGAUACGGUCAGGACAAGGCGAUGGUGUGGGCAGCACCUGCUGGGGGCAAUGGGGCAGGAAGAAGGAGCAGAGAGAGCACUCUGGAUCUUCCCUCAUUCCUAAGGGGUGACAGCAGGACACAUCUCCAGCACAAGUCCUCAUUCUGCUCCUUGACUCAGGGGCAAAUGGCUUACAGGAAUUACAAAAUACAGACAGACAUCUUUAGCCCUUCACAAGAAGCUGCUGGCUGGUCUGGUGGGAAGCGAUGUGCCAAGGAGAAGAAAAGCAAGAUGAAAGCUCUGCCAGCAUGUCACUACGAGUGCUUUUGUAGAAACAGCACGAGUACGAUGAGCAAACCUUUGACCGCCUACUGGAAACAGACUUUUUUCUCAACACAGAAGCAAUCCCUUUGGAACAAGAGCCCUGACCAAGGCUGGGCGUCAGAGGAGGACUUACAGCGAGUUGUGGGGAGGAAGAAAACCCGCCAGUGGGACAGACAGUGUUGCCUUUUGUUUUAGUUUGUAGCACUGAUUGUUGGAUGCUUUUUGAUUUCACAAGAAUCUCUGGAUUUUGUCAACUUCCUUCAGAGAUUUUGCUGGGAAAAAAAAAAAAAAAAACAACAAAAAAACACCACCACCAAAUGGUAACUGUGCUUAAUGUUCUCCUUUCUCAACAAAACCACUCAACGUUUUCAUUCAAAUAAAGAUUUUCCAUGGACAGUAACA